rnacentral:RNase_P_RNA from 1 species
AAAAGUAGUCGGAUAAUCGCGCAAAUUUUAUUUGUGAGGAAAGUCCGAGCAUCUUAGGGCAAAUCGACUGAUAACAUCAGCUACAUGUGAAUGUGAGGAUAGUGCCACAGAAAUAAACCGCCAAUUUACUUUUUAAGUAACGGUAAGGGUGCAACGGCGAGGUAAGAGCUCACCGACAAUGCCGAGAGGUGUUGUGCUAGGUAAACCCCGAUUGGAUGCAAGAUUGACUGGAAGGUUUUAACGUGACCCGCUACUUCCGACAAAUCGCUUGAGGUUGCAAGCAAUUGUAAUCCCAGAUAAAUGAUUAUCUUAAAACAGAACUCGGCUUAUGAACUGCUUUUUAUU